GACGAGGCACUACGGUGCUGAAGCAACAAAUGCCCUGCUUCCAGGAAAAGCCUCUAAGCAUCAGGUAACAUCAAAUCGUACCCCAAACCGACACAGGUGGUCAGGUAGAGAAUACCAAGGCGCUUGAGAGAACUCGGGUGAAGGAACUAGGCAAAAUGGUGCCGUAACUUCGGGAGAAGGCACGCUGACACGUAGGUGAAGUGAUUUACUCAUGGAGCUGAAGUCAGUCGAAGAUACCAGCUGGCUGCAACUGUUUAUUAAAAACACAGCACUGUGCAAACACGAAAGUGGACGUAUACGGUGUGACGCCUGCCCGGUGCCGGAAGGUUAAUUGAUGGGGUCAGCGCAAGCGAAGCUCCUGAUCGAAGCCCCGGUAAACGGCGGCCGUAACUAUAACGGUCCUAAGGUAGCGAAAUUCCUUGUCGGGUAAGUUCCGACCUGCACGAAUGGCGUAAUGAUGGCCAGGCUGUCUCCACCCGAGACUCAGUGAAAUUGAACUCGCUGUGAAGAUGCAGUGUACCCGCGGCAAGACGGAAAGACCCCGUGAACCUUUACUAUAGCUUGACACUGAACAUUGAGCCUUGAUGUGUAGGAUAGGUGGGAGGCUUUGAAGUGUGGACGCCAGUCUGCAUGGAGCCAACCUUGAAAUACCACCCUUUAAUGUUUGAUGUUCUAACGUGGACCCGUAAUCCGGGUUGCGGACAGUGUCUGGUGGGUAGUUUGACUGGGGCGGUCUCCUCCUAAAGAGUAACGGAGGAGCACGAAGGUUGGCUAAUCCUGGUCGGACAUCAGGAGGUUAGUGCAAUGGCAUAAGCCAGCUUGACUGCGAGCGUGACGGCGCGAGCAGGUGCGAAAGCAGGUCAUAGUGAUCCGGUGGUUCUGAAUGGAAGGGCCAUCGCUCAACGGAUAAAAGGUACUCCGGGGAUAACAGGCUGAUACCGCCCAAGAGUUCAUAUCGACGGCGGUGUUUGGCACCUCGAUGUCGGCUCAUCACAUCCUGGGGCUGAAGUAGGUCCCAAGGGUAUGGCUGUUCGCCAUUUAAAGUGGUACGCGAGCUGGGUUUAGAACGUCGUGAGACAGUUCGGUCCCUAUCUGCCGUGGGCGCUGGAGAACUGAGGGGGGCUGCUCCUAGUACGAGAGGACCGGAGUGGACGCAUCACUGGUGUUCGGGUUGUCAUGCCAAUGGCACUGCCCGGUAGCUAAAUGCGGAAGAGAUAAGUGCUGAAAGCAUCUAAGCACGAAACUUGCCCCGAG
rnacentral:rRNA from 1 species